rnacentral:rRNA from 1 species
GACAGAGGGUGCAAACGUUGUUCGGAUUUACUGGGCGUAAAGCGCGUGUAGGCGGCUUUGCAAGUCGGAUGUGAAAGCCCACGGCUCAACCGUGGAAGUGCAUCCGAAAACUGCAUGGCUUGAGUCUCGGAGAGGAAGGUGGAAUGCUUGGUGUAGAGGUGAAAUUCGUAGAUAUCAAGCAGAACACCUGCGGCGAAGGCGGCCUUCUGGACGAUGACUGACGCUGAGACGCGAAAGCGUGGGGAGCAAACAGG